AACGAACGCUGGCGGCAUGCCUAACACAUGCAAGUCGAACGAGACCUUCGGGUCUAUUGUCGCACGGCUUCGUAACGCGUGGGAACCUUCCCUUAGGUUCGGAAUAACUCCCCGAAAGGGGUGCUAAUACCGGAUAAUGUCUUCUGACCAAAGAUUUAUCGCCUUUGGAUGGUCCCGCGUUGGAUUAGCUAGUUGUUAGGGUAAAAGCCUACCAAGGCGACGAUCCAUAGCUUGUCUGAGAGGAUGAUCAGCCACACUGGGACUGAGACACGGCCCAGACUCCUACGGGAGGCAGCAGUGGGGAAUAUUGGAAAAUGGGCGAAAGCCUGAUCCAGCAAUGCCGCGUGAGUGAUGAAGGCCUUAGGGUUGUAAAGCUCUUUUAACCGGGAUGAUAAUGACAGUACCGGGAGAAUAAGCUCCGGCUAACUCCGUG
rnacentral:rRNA from 1 species